rnacentral:rRNA from 1 species
UGAGGAAUAUUGCACAAUGGGCGAAAGCCUGAUGCAGCAACGCCGCGUGGAGGAUGACGCAUUUCGGUGUGUAAACUCCUUUUAUAUGUCAAGAAAAUGACGGUAGCAUAUGAAUAAGCACCGGCUAACUCCGUGCCAGCAGCCGCGGUAAUACGGAGGGUGCAAGCGUUAUUCGGAAUCACUGGGCGUAAAGGACGCGUAGGCGGGUUGCCAAGUCUGAUGUGAAAUCCUAUGGCUCAACCAUAGAACUGCAUUGGAAACUGGUAACCUAGAGUAUGGGAGGGGGAGAUGGAAUUAGUGGUGUAGGGGUAAAAUCCGUAGAUAUCACUAGGAAUACCGAAAGCGAAGGCGAUCUCCUGGAACAUUACUGACGCUAAGGCGUGAAAGCGUGGGGAGCAAACG